rnacentral:rRNA from 1 species
AACGAACGCUGGCGGCAGGCUUAACACAUGCAAGUCGAACGCCCCGCAAGGGGAGUGGCGGACGGGUGAGUAACGCGUGGGAAUCUACCCAGUAGUUGGGGAUAGCCCGGAGAAAUCCGGAUUAAUACCGAAUAAGGUCUACGGACGAAAAGGUGCCUCUUCUUGAAAGCACUUGCUAUUGGAUGAGCCCGCGUUAGAUUAGUUUGUUGGUGGGGUAACGGCCUACCAAGACUGCGAUCUAUAGCCGGUUUGAGAGGAUGAUCAGCCACAUUGGGACUGAGACACGGCCCAG